CUACGGGAGGCAGCAGUGGGGAAUCUUGCACAAUGGGGGAAACCCUGAUGCAGCGACGCCGCGUGAGCGAUGAAGCCCUUCGGGGUGUAAAGCUCUUUCGGCAGGGAAGAGUAUGACGGUACCUGCAGAAGCAGCUGCGGCUAACUACGUGCCAGCAGCCGCGGUAAUACGUAGGCAGCAAGCGUUGUUCGGAAUUACUGGGCGUAAAGGGUGCGUAGGCGGUUUUGUAAGUUUGGUGUGAAAUCUCCCGGCUUAACUGGGAGGGUGCGCCGAAAACUGCAAGGCUAGAGUGCAGGAGAGGAGAGUGGAAUUCCUGGUGUAGCGGUGAAAUGCGUAGAUAUCAGGAGGAGCACCAGUGGUGUAGACGGCUCUCUGGACUGUUACUGACGCUGAGGCACGAAAGCGUGGGGAGCAAACAGGAUUAGAUACCCUGGUAGUCC
rnacentral:rRNA from 1 species